GGUGCGAUACAAGAGAGGGAACCAAAUCUGUUUGUGCUAUUCAUAAAAGAAGAGUAACAAGUUGUUAAGUGUCAAGUUAUACUUCAGAAAUUCAUUCGAAUUCGAGCAAGGUUUCUCAGAAAAAGACUGUUAAGCCAGAGGAUGAGAAGGAAGGCAAAAAGGAAUCAACACCAAUAAGAAGAUCGAUGCGAAUCCAGAUUCGAUCAGCAUCAUCUCCAAGAAGCUAACACAUAUUUUGGGUCUCCCUCAUACAAUGUACAAAUAGAGCUAGUACAUCAUCCUGAAAUCUAUUCAGAUAGUAUGAAGUUUCAAGCAAGCUAAGUACUCUAAGAAGCUAACUUUUGUGGGCAAUUCCAACUUUUGAUGUUGUAUAAGUGGUACUAAAAAUGAUCAUGAUUCCAAACUUUUUUUAUUUUAAAGUGAAAUAUUUAUUCA